UAUCCCCUGGCAAUGGGCAAAUAGACACUUUAAUGGUGGUGGUAUUCUUAUAUCAGUCAGGAGGCAGAGCAGGUGGCAGUUCUUUGUUCACCCUAGAUCGAUGCUUGUCUUGGUGGCCAAAGCUCUUUUAUGCCUAGGACAUACAA